rnacentral:rRNA from 1 species
UACGGAGGGUGCGAGCGUUGUCCGGAAUCACUGGGCGUAAAGGGCGCGUAGGUGGCCUGUGGAAGUCUGCGGUGAAAGCCCGGCGCUCAACGCCGGGUCGGCCGUGGAUACUCUCGGGCUUGAGCUUACUAGAGGCAGAUGGAAUUCCGGGUGUAGCGGUGGAAUGCGUAGAGAUCCGGAAGAACACCGGUGGCGAAGGCGGUCUGCUGGGGUAAUGCUGACACUGAGGCGCGGACAGCGUGGGGAGCAAACAGGG